GUUAUCAAGAGUGAUUGAGGGAACGGCCCGUUGAAAUCACAGCAACCUGCUUUGACAGUAAGGUGCUAAUACCGUCGGUAUUACCGAAUGAUGAG
rnacentral:ncRNA from 1 species